rnacentral:SRP_RNA from 1 species
UGCGCGGGUAGGGCCGAGGGGCUCGCCCUCCCUCAUACCCGAAACGGGCGUCAUGCGGGGGCCAGUAACCUACUCAUGGAGUGUGGAGCUCUGCACUAGCUCCCAAGCCCACGAUGAACUCCGCCCCGUGGGGCUGGCGGUGGCGGGGGUCUCUCCGGAAGGAGAGAUCUACCGCCUUAGCGAGGGGAACCAGGCCAGGCCCGGAAGGGAGCAACCUAACCCUCGACGCCAGCGUUCACGGGUCACCGGAUGGAGGUUUGGGCUUGGGGCUAGCUAGUGCAGAGCUCCACACUCUAUGAGUAGGAGCCGCGCA